GGAUGUGAGGGUCAUCUGGUUGAGACAUCUGUCACCCUAUUGAUGGCCAGGGUUGAUUUGGCUGAUCUGGCCGGCUAGGUGGGUGUUCCCUUUCUCACAGCUCCAUACGCGUCUCUCCUGAGGCUGUUUGGUCAAAGAGGAUGACUUUCCCUGAUAGAGGAGGAUUAUUCUUCAGUCAAGCAUAUGUAAGUCUUUGUGCUCUCUUGCUAGGACCUCCCAAAAAUAUAUGUGUAUGUAAAUUAAUAUGUAUAUAUUUUAUUAUAUAUGUAUAAUUUAGUUAUGCGCAAACCACACAAAAUAACAUAU
rnacentral:snRNA from 1 species